GUAUACCCAUUGCUUGGCCGCAGAGAUCAUCACCAUGUUUAUCGAUGAUGUCAUCACAAUGGGUAUCGGCGCGUUGGCUUCGAUUUCGCUAUUUAUUGCGGUUGUAGGUUUCAUCGUCUGGAAGGAUAUGCAUAAACGCUGACCUUCUGGACAAAGGGCACGCAAGGCACUUGGGCGACUUCGGUCGCCUUUUUUUUG
rfam:Pseudomonas sp. HPB0071 genomic scaffold aczIi-supercont1.1, whole genome shotgun sequence.